rnacentral:rRNA from 1 species
UGAACCUUCGGGGAACGAUAACGGCGUCGAGCGGCGGACGGGUGAGUAAUGCCUAGGAAAUUGCCCUGAUGUGGGGGAUAACCAUUGGAAACGAUGGCUAAUACCGCAUGAUGCCUACGGGCCAAAGAGGGGGACCUUCGGGCCUCUCGCGUCAGGAUAUGCCUAGGUGGGAUUAGCUAGUUGGUGAGGUAAGGGCUCACCAAGGCGACGAUCCCUAGCUGGUCUGAGAGGAUGAUCAGCCACACUGGAACUGAGACACGGUCCAGACUCCUACGGGAGGCAGCAGUGGGGAAUAUUGCACAAUGGGCGCAAGCCUGAUGCAGCCAUGCCGCGUGUAUGAAGAAGGCCUUCGGGUUGUAAAGUACUUUCAGUCGUGAGGAAGGCGGUGUCGUUAAUAGCGGCGUUGUUUGACGUUAGCGACAGAAGAAGCACCGGCUAACUCCGUGCCAGCAGCCGCGGUAAUACGGAGGGUGCGAGCGUUAAUCGGAAUUACUGGGCGUAAAGCGCAUGCAGGUGGUUUGUUAAGUCAGAUGUGAAAGCCCGGGGCUCAACCUCGGAAUAGCAUUUGAAACUGGCAGACUAGAGUACUGUAGAGGGGGGUAGAAUUUCAGGUGUAGCGGUGAAAUGCGUAGAGAUCUGAAGGAAUACCG